UUUCUCCAUUUUACAUCCCAUAACAACAGAAUUCUAUGGCGACUAUGAAACUUCUCUUCUUAGUGAUGUGCCUGAUUGGACUAUGUUACUCCAUUCCUAUGUCUGAGAAAGGUGUUCCAGAGGAGCGCAUGUCAAGUUCUGAGGAGUACAUGCAUUUUGGGGGGUUCGAACCUUACCAGCUGCAGCCUCAGUAUCCAUCAUAUUUUCCCUAUGGCCAGCCAUCCCAAGCAUAUUCCGCUGCAAUGUCCCUCCUGCCUUUCCUAUUAGCAGGACUUGCUGCUACUCCUGCCCCAGCUCCUGCCCCUUCUCCUGCCCCAGCUCCUGCCCCACCAGCAGCCGCAGGAGGCAAAUGAAAGGCUUGCAGGAUAAAUGA